AGGAAAAGAAACCAACAGGGAUUGCCUCAGUAACGGCGAGUGAAGCGGCAAGAGCUCAAAUUUGAAAGCUGGCCCCUUCGGGGUCCGCGUUGUAAUUUGCAGAGGAUGCUUCGGGUGCAGCCCCCGUCUAAGUGCCCUGGAACGGGCCGUCAUAGAGGGUGAGAAUCCCGUCUGGGACGGGGUGUCUGCGUCCGUGUGAAGCUCCUUCGACGAGUCGAGUUGUUUGGGAAUGCAGCUCUAAAUGGGUGGUAAAUUUCAUCUAAAGCUAAAUACUGGCCGGAGACCGAUAGCGCACAAGUAGAGUGAUCGAAAGAUGAAAAGCACUUUGAAAAGAGAGUUAAACAGCACGUGAAAUUGUUGAAAGGGAAGCGUUUGCGACCAGACUCGCCCGCGGGGUUCAGCCGGCAUUCGUGCCGGUGUACUUCCCCGUGGGCGGGCCAGCGUCGGUUUGGGCGGCCGGUCAAAGGCCCUCGGAAUGUAUCACCUCUCGGGGUGUCUUAUAGCCGAGGGUGCAAUGCGGCCUGCCUGGACCGAGGAACGCGCUUCGGCUCGGACGCUGGCGUAAUGGUCGUAAAUGACCCGUCUUGAAACACGGACCAAGGAGUCUAACAUCUACGCGAGUGUUCGGGUGUCAAACCCGUACGCGCAGUGAAAGCGAACGGAGGUGGGAGCCCCCUCGCGGGGCGCACCAUCGACCGAUCCUGAUGUCUUCGGAUGGAUUUGAGUACGAGCGUAGCUGUGGGGACCCGAAAGAUGGUGAACUAUGCCUGAAUAGGGCGAAGCCAGAGGAAACUCUGGUGGAGGCUCGCAGCGGUUCUGACGUGCAAAUCGAUCGUCAAAUUUGGGUAUAGGGGCGAAAGACUAAU
rnacentral:rRNA from 1 species